UACAUGGGGUGCAAACGUUGCUCGGAAUUAUUGGGCGUAAAGCGCGCGUAGGCGGUUACUUAUGUCGGAUGUGAAAGCCCUCGGCUUAACUGAGGAAGUGCAUUCGAAACUGGGUAGCUAGAGUACUAAAGAGGGUCGCGGAAUUCCCGGUGUAGCAGUGAAAUGCGUAGAUAUCGAGAGGAACACCAGUGGCGAAGGCGGCCCGCUGGGCAGUGGCUGACGCUGAGGCGCGACAGCGUGGGGAGCAAACAGG
rnacentral:rRNA from 1 species